rnacentral:lncRNA from 1 species
AUGCUCCAUGGAAAGAGACAUGGGGGAUUAUUUGUCCUGUUCCCCAGAAGAGUACAUUUAAAAGGAGGAGGAAUUUGGAUCACUAAAAGAAAAAGAAAAAAAAGAAGGAUGAAACAGUCUCAUUGUGUCACCGAGGCUGAAGUGCAGUGGCAUAAUCAUGGCUUACUGCAGCCCCUACCUCUAGGCUCAAGCAAUCCUCCCAUCUCAGCUUCCUGUGUAGCUAGGAUGGAAAUGUUCUUUUUCUUAAAGGAUAUAUACUUUCUCCUAACCUCAGACAUCGGCAGUCUUGAUUGUCAGAACUUCAGACUCAGACUAAAUUUCCUGCUUCUGCAGCCGUCAGACAGAUUAUGGGAGUUCUUGGCCUCCAUAAUUAUCUUGAAAAUGGUUUUACAUGAAAGAUUUUCCUGAUCCACAUGAUCAUUGAGAAAAAUCCAAUAG